rnacentral:rRNA from 1 species
GACGAACGCUGGCGGCGUGCUUAAUACAUGCAAGUCGAACGGACAGGUCCUGCUCUUGUGGGGUGCUCGAGUGGCGAACGGGUGUGUAAAACGCGAGUAACAUGCCCUUGACUUUGGGAUAACUUCUGGAAAAUCGGGCUAAUACAGGGUAGGAGAUCCUGCUGCACGGGGGGGGUUGGAAAGUUUCGGCGGUUGGGGAUGGAAUCGAGGGUUAUCAGCUUGUUGGUGGGGUAGUGGAUUACCAAGCCUUUGAAGGGUAGCCGGCCUGAGAGGGUGACCGGCCACAAUGGUACUGAGAUACGGCCCAGAAGCCAACGGGAGGCAGCAGUGGAGAAUAUUGCACAAUGGGCGGGAGCGUGAGGCAGAAACGCCGCGUGCGGGAUGACGGCCUACGAGUGGUAAACCGCUUUCUACUGUGACGAAGCGUGAGUGACGGUAAUUGGUAAGGAAGCACCGGCUAACUACGUG